UACGAAGGGGGCUAGCGUUGCUCGGAAUGACUGGGCGUAAAGGGCGCGUAGGCGGAUGGCAUAGUCAGAUGUGAAAUUCCCGGGCUUAACCUGGGGACUGCAUUUGAUACGUGUCGUCUUGAGUUCGGAAGAGGGUCGUGGAAUUCCCAGUGUAGAGGUGAAAUUCGUAGAUAUGCGGAGGAACACCGAUGGCGAAGGCAAUCCCCUGGGCCUGCACUGACGCUCAUGCACGAAAGCGUGGGGAGCAAACAGG
rnacentral:rRNA from 1 species